rnacentral:lncRNA from 1 species
GAGCUAAUGAUGAGAAAUACAAUUAUCUUAGCGGAUUUCAGUGAGAUUUCUUUGAAUCAAUGAUCUGAUUGUUACACACACUGAAGCUCUUAAUAAUUUAUUUUUUAUAAAAUGGGAUGUAAAUAAUAAUAAUAAUAGCAGUGAUGAGGUAAAACACAUGAGGAUGUGUUUAGGGAAGUGGACAAGACGAUUAAAACCGUUUUGCCGUGAUCCCCAAUUUAAACGACUUCUCCUUCCACUGAGCUUUUUUUUUUAUUUUCAUUCCAACUUUUAUUCAAAAAUACAGUUUUUGUCGAUUUUGAAGAGAUAUGGUGCGUCCAUUUACCAAUUCUGGAGGAUAAGUUGGUUCCUCACGGUGUAAUGGCUCGGACGCUAUAUUAAUGUUUGUGGCCAUCCUGAUCAAUGGGUUCUCAAUACCAUUGCAUCCUGGAAACACCUCAUACAUUU